GUCUCUUCAGGGAUCUCCGAUAAAAUUAGAACGAUAUAGAAAAAUUAAUAUGUCCCAUGCGCAAGAGUUACUCAUAAAAUUGAAACAUGAUCCAAAUUCCA